rnacentral:rRNA from 1 species
GAUGAACGCUGGCGGCGUGCUUAACACAUGCAAGUCGAACGGAGAAAGGGUAGCUUGCUAUCUUUUCUUAGUGGCGGACGGGUGAGUAACGCGUGGGUAACCUGCCCUUUGCAGGGGGAUAACAGUGAGAAAUCACUGCUAAUACCGCAUACCAACUUCUUUCGCAUGAAGGAAGUUUGAAAGAUUUAUCGGCAAAGGAUGGACCCGCGUUGGAUUAGCUAGUUGGUGAGAUAACAGCCCACCAAGGCAACGAUCCAUAGCCGGCCUGAGAGGGUGAACGGCCACACUGGGACUGAGACACGGCCCAGACUCCUACGGGAGGCAGCAGUGGGGAAUAUUGCGCAAUGGGCGAAAGCCUGAUGCAGCGACGCCGCGUGAAGGAUGAAGGUCUUCGGAUUGUAAACUUCUAUCAGCAGGGAAGAAAGGGCUUAUAGCCUAUGACGGUACCUGACUAAGAAGCCCCGGCUAACUACGUG